AGCUGGCAGAGGAGCCAAAUGAACCCAUACUACAGAACACAUAUGAUGUAACUGUAGAAGAGCUCUCAGAGAAGCCAGGAGAAACAGCUGAAAUGUUUGAUGGGCGUCUUCAAGUUAGUGAAGCGAAUGAUGAUCCACAAUAGUCCACUGAAGAAGACGAAAGUGAGAGGGAAGAAUGAGAGCUGGUGCCAGAUGGGGCCCAACCACAAGACAGUGUUGAUGUGGCAGGCGUGAUGGACAUGGAACCCGGCGAUAGCUUGGGCGAGCCUGGUGAUGCAGCGGCCGACAUUGAUAAUGACGGAGCAAUUGUUGAUAUGAGUGAUCCAGCCGUUUAGAUUGCUUCCCCUAUGCCUACUGUGACUCAUGCUAGAACAUUCAAUCCACUGUCUGCUUUGACAAACAAACGGGAUUCAUAAUCAAGCUGCCACAAAUAGGAAAACCUUGUCUUCCUGUGGAAAAAGAAGAAGAAGGAAACAAGAUCUCUAGAAAAAGAAGAAGAAGAAGUCCCAGUCUCAGUGCCCUGUGGUGCAAUUCCCAAAAAAACACAACCAAGGAAAAAUUCUCUCAAUGAAGCCGGCAGCAGCAGCAAUGACAGAAAUCCUGGAUGUACAGCAGCAACAGCAAUGACAGUUUGUUUGUUUUGAAAACUUUAAAUAGACCAUUAAUUGUUUUGUUGGUAUUGUGCUGAUUUUUGUCUUGAUGGAUGUUAAAUGGGUGAAACAUGCACAGGUUCAAUCAUUGGUUGAUUAUAAUAUUGUUAGCUUUUGUUGAUAGAAACUA